rnacentral:lncRNA from 1 species
UAAAGGAAAAGUUCAGUUUGGGGUUUUAAAACCCUAAUGCUGACUCAAGGGAAGAGUUCAGUUUAGGGUUUUAAAACCCUAAUGCUGACUGAAUGGAAAAGUUCAGUUUAGGGUUAAGAACCCUAAUACUGAUUGAAUGGAAAAGUUCAGUUUAGGGUUUAGAACCCUAAUGCGGACUGAAAUGAAAGAGUUCAGUUUAGGGUUUAAAACCCUAAUGAUGACUAAAGGAAAAAGUUCAGUUUAGGGUUUAAAACCCUAAUGCUGACUGAAUGGAAAAGUUCAGUUUAGGGUUUAAAACCCUAAUGCUGACUGAAUAGAAAAGAGUUCAGUUAAGGGUUUAAAACCCUAAUGCUGACUAAAGGAAAAGUUCAGUUUAGGGUUUAAAACCCUAACGCUGACUAAAGGGAAAGUUCAGUUUAGGGUUUAAAACCCUAAUGCUGACUAAAUGGGAAAAGUUCAGUUUAGGGUUUAAAACCCUAAUGCUGACUGAAGGAAAGAGUUCAGUUUAGGGUUUAAAACCCUAAUGUUGACUAAAUGGGAAAAGUUUAGUGUAGGGUUUAAAACCCUAACGCUGACUAAAGGGAAAGUUCAGUUUAGGGUUUAAAAUCUUAAUGCUGACUGAAGGAAAGAGUUCAGUUUAGGGUUUAAAACCCUAAUGCUGACUAAAUGGGAAAAGUUCAGUUUAGGGUUUAAAACCCUAAUGCUGACUAAAGGGAAAAAGUUCAGUUUAGGGUUUAAAACCCUAAUGCAGACUAAAGGAAAGAGUUCAGUUCAGGGUUUAAAACCCUAAUGCUGACUAAAGGAAAAAGUUCAGUUUAGGGUUUAAAACCCUAAUGCUGACUAAAGGAAAAGAGUUCAGUUUAGGGUUUAAAACCCUAAUGCUGACUGAAGGGAAAAAGUUCAGUUUAGGAUUUUAAAACCCUAAUGCCGACUAAAGGAAAAAGUUCAGUUCAGGGUUUAAAACCCUAAUGCUGACUAAAGGAAAAAAGUUCAGUUUAGGGUUUAAAACCCUAAUGCUGACUAAAGGAAAAAAGUUUAGUUUAGGGUUUAAAACCCUAAUGCUGACUAAAUGGGAAAAGUUUAGUUUAGGGUUUAACACCCUAAUGCUGACUAAAGGGAAAAAGUUCAGUUUAGGGUUUUAAAACCCUAAUGCUGACUAAAGGAAAGAGUUCAGUGUAGAGUUUAAAACCCUAACGCAGACUAAAGGAAAAAAGUUCAGUUUAGGGUUUAAAACCCUAAUGCUGACUGAAGGAAAGAGUUCAGUUUAGGGUUUAAAACCCUAAUGCUGACUAAAUGGGAAAAGUUCAGUUUAGGGUUUAAAAACCCUAAUGCUGACUUAAGGGAAAAAGUUCAGUGUAGAGUUUAAAACCCUAACGCUGACUUAAGGGAAAAAGUUCAGUUUAGGGUUUAAAACCCUAAUGCUGACUGAAGGAAAGAGUUCAGUUCAGGGUUUAAAACCCUAAUGCUGACUAAAGGAAAAAGUUCAGUUUAGGGUUUAAAACCCUAAUGCAGACAAAAGGAAAAAAGUUUAGUUUAGGGUUUAAAACCCUAAUGCUGACUAAAGGAAAAAGUUCAGUUUAGGGUUUAAAACCCUAAUGCUGACUAAAGGAAAAAAGUUCAGUUUAGGGUUUAAAACCCUAAUGUUGACUGAAGGAAAGAGUUCAGUUUAGGGUU